CGGGUGCGUAACACGUGAACAACCUGCCCUCGUGUGGGGGAUAGCCAUGCUAACGCGUGGGUAAUACCGCAUACGUUCUCGAGGAGGAGUCUUCUUGGGAAGAAAGCUCCGGCGCACGGGGAGGGGUUCGCGGCCUAUCAGCUAGUUGGUGCGGUAACGGCGCACCAAGGCGACGACGGGUAGCUGGUCUGAGAGGAUGGCCAGCCACAUUGGGACUGAGAUACGGCCCAG
rnacentral:rRNA from 1 species